GAGCGAUGCAAGAAUGACGACGUGACGUCACACGGCGCGCGUAGACAGACAAGGAGAUACGGCGAUCGUUCGCGUUGGUACCCGCUGUUGCUGUUACCACAGGACUUAAAGUUUUGCAUCGUAGCGACUGUAAUUUUACGUGGACGAUGGAUACGUUGGACCGCGGUGCGAUAUAGCUGAACUUGUCGAGUCGCGUUAGAAAACAUCUCAGCUUCUACUAACAAUAAGAAACAAGUGCUUGGAUAUCACAAUUUGCCGCAGCGAGCUGCAUCGGGAAGAAGGUGGCGAGCGAACUACAGCGAGAUACGACUACCGGAUCCACACGCCUGCAGUAAGGGUCUAAGAAUGUGCGGGUACUCUCUAUACGAAGCCGAUUAACCGAUAAUUAACAUGCCCCGAGUGAUGAUGAUCUAGAGACUGAUGAGGCCUGCUGGCUGCAUGGCUGCCCCUGUAGCGUGAGGUUGUUCAGAGCUACAAUAAUGGACGUGAUGAUUGCACGAACGAACUGGAAGAGAUUAUUCGACGUCCUACUCGUGUUAGGUGCUUACAUCGUUCACUGCGCAGUUCACCCAGUGUCGGCAC